UACGUAGGGUGCAAGCGUUAAUCGGAAUUACUGGGCGUAAAGCGUGCGCAGGCGGUUUUGUAAGUCUGUCGUGAAAGCCCCGGGCUCAAUCUGGGAAUUGCGAUGGAGACUGCAAGGCUUGAAUCUGGCAGAGGGGGGUAGAAUUCCACGUGUAGCAGUGAAAUGCGUAGAGAUGUGGAGGAACACCGAUGGCGAAGGCAGCCCCUGGGUCAAGAUUGACGCCUCGAUGCACGAAAGCGUGGGGAGCAAACAGG
rnacentral:rRNA from 1 species